AAGUCGUAACAAGGUUUCCGUAGGUGAACCUGCGGAAGGAUCAUUAUUGAAUUCACUAGCAAAGUUGUUGCUGGCUCCUUGUGGGCAUGUGCACGCUUUGUAAGUCAAUUUCAACCCCUGUGAACCUUUUGUAGUCUUGGGUGACGCUAUUAAUCAAAGGAAACUUUGGAUUUGAAUGAUGCAGGCUUGCAAAGGUCGGCUUCAUUCUACAGCAGAGCCCGGGUACUAUGCUUUACACACCCCAUUGUAUGUCUUAGAAUGUAUAUCAAGGGCUUUAAUGCCUUUAAAUCUAUACAACUUUCAGCAACGGAUCUCUUGGCUCUC
rnacentral:misc_RNA from 1 species